rnacentral:tRNA from 1 species
GCGGGCGUGGCGAAACUGGCAACCGCUCGGGUUUUAGGUGCCCGUGCUCGAAAGAGCUUGAGGGUUCGAGUCCCUCCGCCCGCA